UGGAUGAUGUGGUUUAAUUCGAUGCAACGCGAAAACCUUACCCACCUUUGACAUGGCAGGAAUCCCGAAGAGAUUGGGAGUGCUCGAAAGAGAACCUGCACACAGGUGCUGCAUGGCUGUCGUCAGCUCGUGUCGUGAGAUGUUGGGUUAAGUCCCGCAACGAGCGCAACCCUUGCCAUUAGUUGCUACGAAAGGGCACUCUAAUGGGACUGCCGGUGACAAACCGGAGGAAGGUGGGGAUGACGUCAAGUCCUCAUGGCCCUUAUAGGUGGGGCUACACACGUCAUACAAUGGCCGGUACAGAGGGUAGCCAACCCGCGAGGGGGGAGCCAAUCCCACAAAGCCGGUCGUAGUCCGGAUCGCAGUCUGCAACUCGACUGCGUGAAGUCGGAAUCGCUAGUAAUCGCGGAUCAGCAUGUCGCGGUGAAUACGUUCCCGGGUCUU
rnacentral:rRNA from 1 species